rnacentral:rRNA from 1 species
CCUACGGGUGGCAGCAGUGAGGAAUAUUGGUCAAUGGGCGCGAGCCUGAACCAGCCAAGUCGCGUGAGGGAAGACGGUCCUCUGGAUUGUAAACCUCUUUUGUCGGGGAGCAAAAGACGCCACGCGUGGCGUUCCGAGAGUACCCGAAGAAAAAGCAUCGGCUAACUCCGUGCCAGCAGCCGCGGUAAUACGGAGGAUGCGAGCGUUAUCCGGAUUUAUUGGGUUUAAAGGGUGCGCAGGCGGAAGAUCAAGUCAGCGGUAAAAUUGGGAGGCUCAACCUCGUCGAGCCGUUGAAACUGGUUGUCGUGAGUGAGUGAGAGGGAUGCGGAAUGCGAGGUGUAGAGGUGAAAUGCAUAGAUAUCACGAGGAAAACCGAAUGAGAAGGGAGCAUACAGGCGCUCAACUGACGCUCAUGCAAGAGAGUGUGGGUAGCGAACAGGAUUAGAUAAC